UGGGUAGCUCAGUGGUAGAGCACUUGCCUGGCAUGCAUGAGGCCCUGGGUUUGAUCCCCAGCACCCCAG
rnacentral:tRNA from 1 species